GACGAACGCUGGCGGCGUGCCUAAUACAUGCAAAUCGAACGCAUUUUCUUUCACCGUAGCUUGCUACACCGAAAGAAAAUGAGUGGCGAACGGGUGAGUAACACGUGGGUAACCUGCCCAUCAGCGGGGGAUAACACUUGGAAACAGGUGCUAAUACCGCAUAAUUCCAUUUACUGCAUGGUAGAUGGAUGAAAGGCGCUUUUGCGUCACUGAUGGAUGGACCCGCGGUGCAUUAGCUAGUUGGUGGGGUAACGGCCUACCAAGGCUGCGAUGCAUAGCCGACCUGAGAGGGUGAUCGGCCACACUGGGACUGAGACACGGCCCAGACUCCUACGGGAGGCAGCAGUAGGGAAUCUUCGGCAAUGGACGCAAGUCUGACCGAGCAACGCCGCGUGAGUGAAGAAGGUUUUCGGAUCGUAAAACUCUGUUGUUAGAAAAGAACAAGGAUGAGAGUGGAAAGUUCAUCCCUUGACGGUAUCUAACCAGAAAGCCACGGCUAACUACGUG
rnacentral:rRNA from 1 species